UCUCUCUCUCUCUCAAAGAAAUAAAAUCUUAAACAAAACAAAACAAAACCAAACACCUCCUUACGAGUUGGUAAAUAGAUACUGGCUCAAGCUCUCUGAAUGCCCUUUUACCACUCCAGCCACCUCAGCCCUAGGGAGCCCUGGUCAGCACUAGAGGAAAACUGCCCAGUUACUGGCCAAGGCUCCAGCAUGCCUGAGGCUGUCCUAUAUGUCCCCCACCCUUCCUCUACCUCCCACCAUCAGUAAUGCUAUGAGUAGCCUCAGACACCAGCCCCUCUGGGAGAAGGACUGUCGACCUGUAGGGAAAUAUGUCUGGUGCCUACCUGGCCACCCCAAAGCUGUAGUGUCCUGUUGCCUACCGCCAGGAAUCACUUUUUACUUGGCCUCUUUGGGUCAAGUGUACAAUAGUGUACAAUAAUGGUUGAAAUAUUUUGACUAUUCCCAUGGUCAUAGCCACUCUACCUGCCACUUUCACCAAGGAGAUAUCCAGGGUUUGUACUGACUGAAAUGAUUGUGUAAGGGAUCCCAAUAUCACUUCUCCACAUUUUCCUUGCAUACCACUGGGUGAACUGGAAUUCAUAAAGAAAGGCAGUGUUGCACUGAGGGGAGGUGGCUUCUAGGCACUUUGGCUGUGUCACAUCAGCUGACAUUCACUGAACCAAACCUGUUCACUGGGGCUCAAGCACUGUGGUCCUUGGAGGGCUGCGGCCAUGGCAUCUUUAUUCCAUCUGAACACACCUCUAAAACAACUGACCAUCACUAAUAUCUAGAUUUGGAUCACUGAGUGAAAUUGGUUAAAUAGCAGUGCUCCACCCCAAAAAGGGCGGCGGGGGGAUGGGGCUAUUUUCUAACUCACAGCACUCAUACAUGUAGACGGCUUCAUUAUUGCUUUAAAGCUUGGUAUGAAAAUUAAAAGAAAAUUUUGGAAAUUUGAUCCAAGAGUGUCCCACCCAAACAUUUUCUUCACAGUCUGGUAUAUUAUUUCAGACCCUAAAUGGUGAAAAAUGCCUUUUGAACAUCAUUCAACAACAAAGUGUGUGCUGAUUUCUGUGGUGUGCUGCUGAGCUGUUGCUAAUGGCACCGCACUUGUGUGCCAGCUGGGAGCGGCUUUCCUUCUCUUACAGUGGGCUGGGCACUUGCAGUCAAAAUAGCUGAGUGGAUUUUUUUCUCUACCACUUCCAAGCUGCAUGCCUUGGGGAGCCACUUAGGCUUUCCAAGCCUCAGCUAUUUAUCUAAAAUGAAGUUGGUGUGGGGUUUAAAGGAAUGUAAAAGGCCCAGCCCAAUGGCUAACAUGCAAUAAGAACUCAGUCAUUUGUUAUUUUUGUUGUUUUAAUGUUCUUUGGUAUUUCAGUGAGCCAAGGGGCUGCACGCAGGCAAAGUAACGGCGCAUUUGGAAGAAUAUAGGGAAGGCUCAACCUUGUUAUGACAUAAUUGUUGCCGGAAAUUCUCCAUUAGAGAAGCAUUCUUUGGAUAAUCAUUUUUUAAAAAUGCAAAUACCUCUCCGGGCUACUUUAUUAAACUAUUCGCGGUAAUUUACAUUGACAGUGUAUGUGUGAUUGGCCAAAAUAUGUAACAUGUGAGUGUCCAGAGCUCUCCGUCCCCCGGGGAUUGACAGUGAAUGCGGAAGAAGAAAAAGAAGACAUACACUUAGAGAGAGAGGUGGAGAGGUGGGGGAGGGCUCUGUUGCUCGGAGCGCAGUUGUUCUCUGCCAGGUGGGCCUGAAGUCUGGGAUCCACUUUGGGCUGUGUGUUCUGAGCACUGAGAGAGAAUGCUUUGGGUAAGCUCUGAAAAGAGAAAAGUGGAGCAGUUAAUAUUUAGGAAGAAAGCUGAUGAGAGAAGGCAAAAAAGGCGACUCCAAAGAAUAACUGCUGUGCUUGACAUAAUCCUUGUUUCCGGUAUGUUCUGCCGGAGCAAACGCCAAGAUGGAGUUCCGGGUGCCGAAGUCUUACUAGCGACCCACACCUGCGGAGGGAAGCGGGCGGAAGCAGCUGGCGGGCCUGCCCAGCCGCAGCCAAUCACGUGAGGAGCUCUGUGCUGACACCGCCUCUUCCGGCCUGCGCAGCAAUGCGGUGCCUUCAUCCGCCAGCCUCAAUCGGCCUCCGUGGGCGGUGUGGAGGUGGGGCUGCUGGAGGCUGUUUGCUGACUGGACUCCCGCUACUGAAGCGGUGGUGGGUGACACGGCUCUGUGACUACCAUCUUCUCCCAGCGCAGGAGCCUCAUUUCUGAACUCACUGGCAGCACGGUUCCUCUGUGGCUCCGUGGUCCUCUCUUCCUGAGAGAAACUUGGAAGAAGGCGGUGAGCGGAUGAACGACUCUUCAUCGUCUUCCUACUUUAGGGUCUGGUCUAAGUUCUCACCCUCAGCUACCACCUCUGCUGGCCGCAGUGGUCUACCUGGUGUUGCAGCCUGCCUACACUUUUAUCCCCAAGAAGCCCAAGGUUCUGGUCAUCAUGCCCUUAAGCCGGAGCAGCUACACAUGCCCGAUUACCAUCACCACCGGGCAAGGGAAUACCAAAAAGUGCCCAAGUGGGCUGCACCCAUAUCCCUGCUUGUCCCCAUUGUGUGGCGAGAAGCCUGCCUCCUCCUGAUGAUGAAAGGCAAUUACCAUGGCAUGGUGGUAAGUUCUCUUCCUCCUGCUGGUUGCUGUACACAGGGGACUUAAGAUGACUGAGUGGACUCUUGCCAUGUCCCCUGGCAAAAGUGUGGCUGCUUGGAGUGCCAGGUCUUCCAACCCUGCAGAGCCCAGAACUGAGGAAUCACAGUCUCUGUGGCCGCGUCACUGAGAUCGGUGGCAUAUGUAGAAAUUGUUGCAUUGCUCCAGGCCGCACAGCUGAUUGGCAUGGGAACCAGGAGUUGAACCCAGGCCGACUGACUCCAAAGCCCACAUUAGACCAUUGUGCUGUCCUGUCUCUUAAGCAUGAGGCACAAAACAAUAUUUCCUCCCUGGAUGAGACAAAAGUUCUGCCUUACCAGUUAAAACUUGUUAGUGAGACUACUUAUUUGGGUAGGGAAAUCAUGAAGUACCUAUAAUGCCCUGAGGUUUAAUAAGCAGUUUCUGUAAAGUUGCAAGGCUGUUGUUGGGUAGCUAUUACUAUGAGGUUGUUAUAAUUUGAUUAGCUCACUACAAGGGAGUCUUUUUUUCUGAGAUUUAGCCCUGGAUCACUGUCUGUACUUGAGAGUUUUCUCUCCUUAGUUGUAAGAGUAACCCAGCCAAGGCCCCGAAUCUCCAAGGAACUGUAAAAGGAAAAACAAAGCUGGGGGCAUCACAAUGCCGGAUUUCGAGCUGUACUACAAAGCUGUGAUCACAAAGACAGCAUGGU